GACGAACGCUGGCGGCGUGCUUAACACAUGCAAGUCGAACGGAAAGGCCCUGCUUUUGUGGGGUGCUCGAUUGGCGAACGGGUGAGUAACACGCGAGUAUCCUCCCCUUAACUUUGUGAUAACACCAGGAAACUGGGGCUAAUACCCGAGAUGAUCUCCUGCUGCAUGGUGGUGGUUGGAAAGUUUCGGCGUUUGGGGAUGGACUCGCGGGUUAUCAGCUUGUUGGUGGGGUAGUGGCUUACCAAGGCUUUGACGGGUAGGCGGCCUGAGAGGGUGACCGGCCACGUUGGGACUGAGGUAGGGCCCAGACUCCUACGGGAGGCAGUAGUGGAGAGUAUUGCACAAUGGGCGGAAGCCUGAUGCAGCAACGCCGCGUGCGGGAUGACGGCCUUCGGGUUGUAAACCGCUUUCGCCUGUGACGAAGCGGGAGUGACGGUAAUGGGUAAGGAAGCACCGGCUAACUACGUG
rnacentral:rRNA from 1 species